rnacentral:rRNA from 1 species
AACGCGAAGAACCUUACCUGGGCUUGACAUGUGCCUGACCGCCCUGGAAACAGGGUUUCCCUUCGGGGCAGGUUCACAGGUGGUGCAUGGCUGUCGUCAGCUCGUGUCGUGAGAUGUUGGGUUAAGUCCCGCAACGAGCGCAACCCCCGUCGCAUGUUGCCAGCAUUUAGUUGGGGACUCAUGCGAGACUGCCGGUGACAAACCGGAGGAAGGUGGGGAUGACGUCAAGUCAUCAUGCCCCUUAUGUCCAGGGCUACACACGUGCUACAUUGGCGCGUACAGAGGGCUGCGAUACCGCGAGGUGGAGCGAAUCCCUUAAAGCGCGUCUCGGUUCGGAUUGCAGGCUGAAACUCGCCUGCAUGAAGGCGGAGUUGCUAGUAAUCGCGGAUCAGCAUUGCCGCGGUGAAUACGUUCCCGGGCCUUGUACACACCGACAUA